rnacentral:rRNA from 1 species
UACCGCAUAAGAUUGUAGUAUCGCAUGAUAUAGCAAUUAAAGGAGCAAUUCGCUAUAAGAUGGACCCGCGUCGCAUUAGCUAGUUGGUGAGGUAAUGGCUCACCAAGGCGACGAUGCGUAGCCGACCUGAGAGGGUGAUCGGCCACAUUGGGACUGAGACACGGCCCAGACUCCUACGGGAGGCAGCAUG